AGCACCGCCGCGGUAAUACGGAGGGCGCGAGCGUUGCCCGGAUUUACUGGGCGUAAAGGGCGUGUAGGCGGCCUGGGGCGUCCCAUGUGAAAGGCCACGGCUCAACCGUGGAGGAGCGUGGGAUACGCUCAGGCUAGAGGGUGGGAGAGGGUGGUGGAAUUCCCGGAGUAGCGGUGAAAUGCGCAGAUACCGGGAGGAACGCCGAUGGCGAAGGCAGCCACCUGGUCCACUUCUGACGCUGAGGCGCGAAAGCGUGAGGAGCAAACCGGAUUAGAUACCCGCGUAGUCCCUGUCUCUUAUACA
rnacentral:rRNA from 1 species